rnacentral:rRNA from 1 species
UCCUACGGGACGCAGCAGUGGGGAAUAUUGCACAAUGGGGGAAACCCUGAUGCAGCAACGCCGUGUGAAGGAAGACGGUUUUCGGAUUGUAAACUUCUGUUCUUAGUGAAGAAUAAUGACGGUAGCUAAGGAGCAAGCCACGGCUAACUACGUGCCAGCAGCCGCGGUAAUACGUAGGUGGCAAGCGUUGUCCGGAAUUACUGGGUGUAAAGGGAGCGCAGGCGGGAAGGCAAGUCAGCUGUGAAAACUACGGGCUUAACUUGUAGACUGCAGUUGAAAAUGGUUUUCUUGAGUGAAGAAGAGGU